rnacentral:rRNA from 1 species
GCGUGCGGGAAGAAGGCCUUCGGGUUGUAAACCGCUUUUGUCAGGGAAGAAACGCUCCAAGCUAAUAUCUUGGAGUAAUGACGGUACCUGAAGAAUAAGCACCGGCUAACUACGUGCCAGCAGCCGCGGUAAUACGUAGGGUGCGAGCGUUAAUCGGAAUUACUGGGCGUAAAGCGUGCGCAGGCGGUCGUGCAAGACAGAUGUGAAAUCCCCGGGCUCAACCUGGGAAUUGCAUUUGUGACUGUGCGACUGGAGUGUGGCAGAGGGGGAUGGAAUUCCGCGUGUAGCAGUGAAAUGCGU